GAUGAACGCUGGCGGCGUGCCUAAUACAUGCAAGUCGAACGCUUCACUUCGGUGAAGAGUGGCGAACGGGGGAGUAAUACAUAAGUAACCUGGCAUCUACAGGGGGAUAACUGAUGGAAACGUCAGCUAAGACCGCAUAGGUGUAGAGAUAGCAUGAACUCUAUAUGAAAAGUGCUACGGGACUGGUAGCUGAUGGAGUUAUGGCGCAGUAGCUUGUUGGUAGGGUAACGGCCUACGAAGGCGACGAUGCGUAGCCGACCUGAGAGGGUGACGGGCCACAUUGGGACUGAGACACGGCCCAGACUCCUACGGGAGGCAGCAGUAGGGAAUUUUCGGCAAUGGGGGAAACCCUGACCGAGCAACGCCGCGUGAAGGACGAAGAAAUUCGUUAUGUAAACUUCUGUCAUAGGUGAAGAACGGCUUAUAUAGGGAAUGAUAUCCGAGUGACGGUACUCUAUAAGAAAGCCACGGCUAACUACGUG
rnacentral:rRNA from 1 species